rnacentral:lncRNA from 1 species
CUGCUUUUGCCUCCUUUUCUUCUAUCUGGGUAAAGUACACCUUCCAUGCUAAGACGGAAUUCUGAUGGCUUGUUUUUCCCCUCUGUUACUCCUUCUAGAUCCCAUUUUGUCUGCAUCAUAUAUAUAUAUAUGCUUCAACUUAAUCAAUACUAUAUAUAUAUAUAUAUAUAUCCUUAAUUAAUUUUUUAAGUAUGUGCACAUCAUACAAUUUUGAACUCAAGAACCAUAGAGGUAUGGGUAGGAACGCCAGAAGGGUAUUCUUUCCCAUUAGUUUUGCAUCUAAGUCUCAUGUUAACAACUGGGCAUGCUGUGAGGAACAAGAAGCCAAUCGGUUCCAUUCGGAUUCUCCAUUCUUCCUGCACCAACAUACAUAUAAUUAAUUAUUCAAUUACACAUUAUUAUACUAAAAUAGUAGUAGUUAAUUAAUUACCUCGUUAAGACGUUGGGUUCCUCUGUUAUCUGGGGAAAUAGCUUUGAAGACUCUUGGUUUGUCCUCCAAGUACCUAUCGAAAGAUGCCUGUGUACAUAAAAGCGUAAUUAAUUAACAACAUAUAUUAUAAAAACAGAGAGUGUAGUGUAUGUGAAUUGUGAACGUACAUGAGGGGAUUCAAAGAGGGGCAUGUCAGAUACAAUGGUGAUUUGUGAAUCAUAACUCUGUUGAUGAGCCUUAAUGGGAUGGUAUUUUGUACGGAAUUUCUGCUUUGAUGGACUCAACACUAGUACUAUAUUUCUCUCGAAGAAUUGAAAGCCUCUGCUUCUUAUUCUGCCAGGCUGCAACGUCGCACAAAUUAAGGGAACUGUCACUGCCACAACACUUGGGUUCAUGAUUGACUAGCUGAUAAUUCGAUCUAUUUCUUUACCUCUUUCAAGUUUUUGGAGCUAAAUCACUACUCUUUUUUCUUUUUUUUUGCAAUGGAAUUAAUUCUCUGCCUGAAAGUUGGGACAUUACACCUUAUAUUCUUACUCUGUCCCAUUUUAUAUUAGAUAGUUUGAUUCCCGAGUUUAAAAAGAAGAAAAAACUUUAAAAACUUGUGAUCCAAAAUGAAUGAUAGAAAUUUGUGUAAUUAUAAAUCAUUUAAUUAAGUAUAAAAUGUACAUUUUAAAAUUAAAUUAUCACUUAAUAUAAAAAUAUAUCAUUUUUUUUUAAUUGACUAAAAAUGAAAGUAAGUCAUAAAUUUUAAUAUAUCAUAUUCAAAACCCAAAUCAUUUUCAUUUCAUUACUGACUUCAGUACUUGGAGUAACUGGACCUACCAUGUUUCUUUUGGAGUACACAUUUCCAACGUUAUUCCAUCAAUAAUUGUUAGAUAUUUUAUUCUUUAUAUAUAUAUUUUUUUCCGGAUAAAUAUAAAAUGGUAAUUUAUGUAUUUUUCUUUAAAAAUAUCUUUGAAAACUGUCUUCAUCGUGUAUCAUCAUCCGCAGUGUAAUUUGUACGGCACGUGUUUGGUGUUAAUCAAUAAGACUAUAUAAAAAUAAAAUUAUUAAAAAAUAGUAAUUGACUUUAAAAUAAAUGUUAUAUUUAUUUAAAUAAAUAUUAUAUCUCAAAUAUGUUAUUGUGUGUCGUAUCUCGCCUCAUAUUUCUUUACAAAUAAUUUGUUAUAUUUUUCUGGUCACUUUAGCUAUUUUAUCAUAAAAAAUAAUAAUUGUUGUAGACAUUUAUAAUUUUCAUUAAAAAGAAACAAAAAUAUUUUAAACCUUCUUGCUGAAAUUCGAAACAAAAAAAUAAUAAUCUCAAACAAAAUAGAAUACUAUGAAAUGAAAAGAAAUAAAACACAAAAAUAUUAAAGAAGGGUUCAAUGGAGCAUGACUAAAGUAGAAAGAAAUCUAUAUCUAUAUCUAUAUAUAAUAUAAAGCUAGAUAAAAGAUCUCUUUGGCCAAGAAUCCUAUUUAUCUUUUUUUUUCUCAUUUUUUUGACAUUUUAUUUAUUUAUUUAUUGUUUAUUAUUAUUUUACAAAUAUGAAUGUGGCAAUUACUAUUCCUUUCAUUUAUUCAUAUUCUUUAAUAUAAACUUUAAUUGUCUUUAUUUUCAUUACUCUCAUGACUUUUCAUGAUCAUAACUCCUAAAUUUUAUUACUAAUAGUCAUGUUCAUGAUUUCAUUUGGUAUUCCCUAUUGUUAUCCUAUAAAUAGAGGCAUUAUAAAUUUUUCUUACAAAAUAAACGAUCAAAUCUAUAUAGUAUAUAGAUGUGUGUAAAGCUCUCAAAUUUGUGGUAAAGGUGCUUUAAGAUGAUCAAGCUAAAAGAAAGGCACAUAUAUUCUAUACUUUUUUCUUCUUCUUUUCGAUCAUCAUAAUACUAUUUUGAGUUUGAUAUUUAUUUGAUUUGAUUUGAUUAUAGGUAGACAUCUACAGAAAAUACAAAGAAAACAGAUGGGUUGAUGAUAAGAAAUUGUAAACAAUUCUUCUCAAACUCUCUUUUAUAUUUAUUUUUAUUUUUCUUUUUCUUUGUGUGUUUGACUAAAGAAGUUAUACUCAUUGAUCAUAAAUUUUGCUAAGUAACAAAUAUAUGAGGUAUUCAAUUAUACUCUUACUUUAAUGUUAAUUAUUUUUAAAGAAUUUCUUUAUUUUGCAGCAUUUGGAGAAUGGAGGGGGAGGGGAGAUAGAAAAGUGAAAUUUUAUCAGAUGGGUCAAAGAUAAAAAUUGUAAGCAAUUCUUCUCAAAUUUUCGUUUAUAUUUAUAUCCCCUUUUCUUAAUAUGUUUGAGUAUAGAAGUUAUACUCAAUUGAUCAUAAAUUUUGCUAAGUGAUAAACAUAAUUAUUCUCUUACUUUAUUGUUCUAAGUUUCUUUUUUUUUAUAAAGAAUAUAUGUAUUUUGCAGUAUUUGGAAAAGUGAAGGAGCGGGGGGCGGGGGCAGGGGGGAGUGAAAUUUUAUGAUAAAAUUAAAUUCUGAACUUAAAUAAAUUCAAUUGAAAUUACAAUUCAUAACUGUAAAAAUAAUAUUGUUUCAUCAUUUUAUAGGUAUAGAUACCCUGAUAUACGAGGUGAAGAAAAUGGAAAGGUGAAACAACUGAUUUAAGAUUAAGAGCAAG